CCUUCGAUACUGGCAAACUAGAUUGCCGGAGAGGAAACCGGAACUCUUGGUGUAACGGUGGAAUGUGUAGAUAUCAAGAGGAACACCGGUGCCGAAGNCGGCUUUCUGGACGCACACUGACGCUCAGGCGCGAAAGCGUGGGUAGCAAACAGGAUUAGAUACCCUGGUAGUCCACGCCAUAAACGAUGGGUGCUAGGUGUCGGGGGUAUCGACCCCUCCGGUGCCGCAGUUAACGCACUAAGUACCCCGCCUGGGGAUUAUGGUCGCAAGGCUGAAACUCAAAGGAAUUGACGGGGCCCCGCACAAGCGGUGGAGCAUGUGGUUUAAUUCGACGCAACGCGAAGAACCUUACCUGGGCUUGACAUGCUUGGGACAGCGCUGGAAACAGCGUCUCUCCUUCGGGAGCCCUUGCACAGGUGCUGCAUGGCUGUCGUCAGCUCGUGUCGUGAGAUGUUGGGUUAAGUCCCGCAACGAGCGCAACCCUCGUUACUAGUUGCCAUCAGUUCGGCUGGGCACUCUAGUGAGACUGCCGGUGAUAAACCGGAGGAAGGUGAGGAUGAUGUCAAGUCAUCAUGGCCCUUACGCCCAGGGCUACACACGUGCUACAAUGGUCGGCACAAAGGGUCGCUAAGCCGCGAGGUGGAGCUAAUCCCAAAAAGCCGGCCUCAGUUCGGAUUGGAGUCUGCAACCCGACUCCAUGAAGGCGGAAUCGCUAGUAAUCGCGGAUCAGCAUGCCGCGGUGAAUAUGUUCCCGGGGCUUGUACACACCGCCCGUCAUAUCACCCGAGUCGGGGAUACCCGAAGUCCGUGACCCAACCAUUUGGAGGGAGCGGCCGAAGGUGUGCCUGUAAGGGGGGUAAAGUC
rnacentral:rRNA from 1 species